rnacentral:sRNA from 1 species
AGUACUUUAUUGAUAAUCACCCCAAAAUGACUACCCAGGAUUAUGGUACGCCUUUAGAUAGCAAUAAAUCAACAACUAAGAAAAUUGAAGAACAUAGCAGUCGUCAAUGCACUUUCCGCAUGAAAAAGUUGAAAAAAAAUGGUGUCGAAGUUUAUGUUUGGUUCAGAUUCUGCUCUUGUGAAGAAUUCCCAGAUAGAUCAGAAGAUUACAAAAAGAUCGCAGAUGGUGACAGCUCACCAUGGAGCUAUUCGAUAAAUGGAAUUUAUGUCCACUCAAGGAAAGAAUGUCAGCAUCAGCGUGUAACUUGGCUUGGUUGGAGUGGACGUUACAAAAUCGAAGAAGUGUGUCAUUGUCAGUGAAGACCGUAAAAAGGGGAAAUGAUAAAAAACUGCCUGCGAAAAGAACAAAAGUAUAUUUAAGUGUUCUGACAUUACGAAAUAAAAGAAUUUUACUCUUAUUAUUCUUGUGUAUGAUUCACACUGUAAAUGUAACAAAAUAACCUCGGAAACUAAAUUGAUUCGUCUUUGUAAUUAUAUGCAUCUAUAGAGAUCGAGGUUUAAAAAAGAGACUAACUCUACGAUUUUUUCUAUAACUUUUGAAUAAAGUGAUAUGUAACUAAUUUAUAAAGUGUCAAAUACAAAGAUUACUUUGUUUUACAAUAUUUAUACGUUUAUUAGUAGUAUGUCUUUUGCCUGAAACGGACACUAAUGAUGUGAAGUUUUAAGGAAAAAUAAACAAACAAAUCAAUGAAUAAAGGAAUACAAGUAUCAAACAAAGACCAAUUUUUUAAAUGCCAGAAAAAUAAAUUUGAGUGUACAAGGUUUCAUUUCUUGGUAACAACCUGUAUUGAAUGAGUAAAAAAAGAUAAAGACUGAAU